GCGCAACAACUUCUACCUGGCAUACCUCUUCAGUCUUGUGUCAAUGCUUGUAUUGCAUUGAAUGCACGGUGGGUUUCUUGUGUUGCAUGCCUAAUUUAAUGGUAUUGCUUGAUGUAUUGGUUUUCCUUUCGUUUUGCAUUGCCUAUGCGAUGUGAGAUGAACCUUGAAGCAGCCUUUGUGAUCCACUGAUUUGAUGUAUAUGCAUUGAUUUUGUGGCCCAUUGAGUGUUGCUCGGUCUCAUGGAUAUGGAACCUGGUGUGGGCAUGGAAUCUUAAUGGUUCCUUGUUUGCCCAAGUUUAGCUUUUCUAAAACGAUUGUCUAUCAUGUGUUAACAUGCUAGACUACUUCGAAUAUGAAUGCUACCUGGUUGAUCC
rnacentral:misc_RNA from 1 species